GCUACGGGAGGCAGCAGUGGGGGAUAUUGGACAAUGGGGGAAACCCUGAUCCAGCGACGCCGCGUGAGUGAAGAAGUAUUUCGGUAUGUAAAGCUCUAUCAGCAGGGAAGAAAGAAAUGACGGUACCUGAGUAAGAAGCCCCGGCUAACUACGUGCCAGCAGCCGCGGUAAUACGUAGGGGGCAAGCGUUAUCCGGAAUUACUGGGUGUAAAGGGAGCGUAGACGGUAAUGCAAGUCUGGAGUGAAAGGCGGGGGCCCAACCCCCGGACUGCUCUGGAAACUGUGUAACUGGAGUGCAGGAGAGGCAGGCGGAAUUCCGUGUGUAGCGGUGAAAUGCGUAGAUAUACGGAGGAACACCAGUGGCGAAGGCAGCCUUCCGGCGCCCUACUGACGCUGAGGCACGAAAGUGCGGGGAUCGAACAGGAUUAGAUACCCUAGUAGUC
rnacentral:rRNA from 1 species